GGUCAAAGUGAAAGACGGUCUUGCUGUCACUUAUAGAUGGAUCCGCGCUGCAUUAGCUAGUUGGUAAGGUAACGGCUUACCAAGGCAACGAUGCAUAGCCGACCUGAGAGGGGAUCGGCCACACUGGAACUGAGACACGGUCCAGACUCUACGGGAGGCAGCAGUAGGGAAUCUUCCGCAUGGGCGAAAGCCUGACGGAGCAACGCCGCGUGAGUGAUGAAGGUCUUCGGAUCGUAAAACUCUGUUAUUAGGGAAGAACAUAUGUGUAAGUAACUGUGCACAUCUUGACGGUACCUAAUCAGAAAGCCACGGCUAACUACGUGCCAGCAGCCGCGGUAAUACGUAGGUGGCAAGCGUUAUCCGGAAUUAUUGGGCGUAAGCGCGCGUAGGCGGUUUUUUAAGUCUGAUGUGAAAGCCCACGGCUCAACCGUGGAGGGUCAUUGGAAACUGGAAAACUUGAGUGCAGAAGAGGAAAGUGGAAUUCCAUGUGUAGCGGUGAAAUGCGCAGAGAUAUGGAGGAACACCAUGGCGAAGGCGACUUUCUGGUCUGUAACUGACGCUGAUGUGCGAAAGCGUGGGGAUCAAACAGGAUUAGAUACCCUGGUAGUCCACGCCGUAAACGAUGAGUGCUAAGUGUUAGGGGUUUCCGCCCCUUAGUGCUGCAGCUAACGCAUUAAGCACUCCGCCUGGGGAGUACGCCGCAAGGUUGAAACUCAAAGGAAUUGACGGGGACCCGCACAA
rnacentral:rRNA from 1 species